GAUGAACGCUGGCGGCGUGCCUAAUACAUGCAAGUCGAGCGAACGGACGAGAAGCUUGCUUCUCUGAUGUUAGCGGCGGACGGGUGAGUAACACGUGGAUAACCUACCUAUAAGACUGGGAUAACUUCGGGAAACCGGAGCUAAUACCGGAUAAUAUUUUGAACCGCAUGGUUCAAAAGUGAAAGACGGUCUUGCUGUCACUUAUAGAUGGAUCCGCGCUGCAUUAGCUAGUUGGUAAGGUAACGGCUUACCAAGGCAACGAUGCAUAGCCGACCUGAGAGGGUGAUCGGCCACACUGGAACUGAGACACGGUCCAGACUCCUACGGGAGGCAGCAGUAGGGAAUCUUCCGCAAUGGGCGAAAGCCUGACGGAGCAACGCCGCGUGAGUGAUGAAGGUCUUCGGAUCGUAAAACUCUGUUAUUAGGGAAGAACAUAUGUGUAAGUAACUGUGCACAUCUUGACGGUACCUAAUCAGAAAGCCACGGCUAACUACGUGCCAGCAGCCGCGGUAAUACGUAGGUGGCAAGCGUUAUCCGGAAUUAUUGGGCGUAAAGCGCGCGUAGGCGGUUUUUUAAGUCUGAUGUGAAAGCCCACGGCUCAACCGCGGAGGGUCAUUGGAAACUGGAAAACUUGAGUGCAGAAGAGGAAAGUGGAAUUCCAUGUGUAGCGGUGAAAUGCGCAGAGAUAUGGAGGAACACCAGUGGCGAAGGCGACUUUCUGGUCUGUAACUGACGCUGAUGUGCGAAAGCGUGGGGAUCAAACAGGAUUAGAUACCCUGGUAGUCCACGCCGUAAACGAUGAGUGCUAAGUGUUAGGGGGUUUCCGCCCCUUAGUGCUGCAGCUAACGCAUUAAGCACUCCGCCUGGGAAGUACGACCGCAAGGUUGAAACUCAAAGGAAUUGACGGGGACCCGCACAAGCGGUGGAGCAUGUGGUUUAAUUCGAAGCAACGCGAAGAACCUUACCAAAUCUUGACAUCCUUUGACAACUCUAGAGAUAGAGCCUUCCCCUUCGGGGGGGCAAAGUGACAGGUGGUGCAUGGUUGUCGUCAGCUCGUGUCGUGAGAUGUUGGGUUAAGUCCCGCAACGAGCGCAACCCUUAAGCUUAGUUGCCAUCAUUAAGUUGGGCACUCUAAGUUGACUGCCGGUGACAAACCGGAGGAAGGUGGGGAUGACGUCAAAUCAUCAUGCCCCUUAUGAUUUGGGCUACACACGUGCUACAAUGGACAAUACAAAGGGCAGCGAAACCGCGAGGUCAAGCAAAUCCCAUAAAGUUGUUCUCAGUUCGGAUUGUAGUCUGCAACUCGACUACAUGAAGCUGGAAUCGCUAGUAAUCGUAGAUCAGCAUGCUACGGUGAAUACGUUCCCGGGUCU
rnacentral:rRNA from 1 species